CCAGUACUGUCUAUACAUGUAAUACGAACGAACUCUGGUAUUGAUUGGUGCUUGCAUCAUGAUUUACAUUUGAGUGAGUGGCGAACUGGUGAGUAACACGUGGGAAACCUGCCCAGAAGCGGGGGAUAACACCUGGAAACAGAUGCUAAUACCGCAUAACAACUUGGACCGCAUGGUCCGAGUUUGAAAGAUGGCUUCGGCUAUCACUUUUGGAUGGUCCCGCGGCGUAUUAGCUAGAUGGUGGGGUAACGGCUCACCAUGGCAAUGAUACGUAGCCGACCUGAGAGGGUAAUCGGCCACAUUGGGACUGAGACACGGCCCAAACUCCUACGGGAGGCAGCAGUAGGGAAUCUUCCACAAUGGACGAAAGUCUGAUGGAGCAACGCCGCGUGAGUGAAGAAGGGUUUCGGCUCGUAAAACUCUGUUGUUAAAGAAGAACAUAUCUGAGAGUAACUGUUCAGGUAUUGACGGUAUUUAACCAGAAAGCCACGGCUAACUACGUGCCAGCAGCCGCGGUAAUACGUAGGUGGCAAGCGUUGUCCGGAUUUAUUGGGCGUAAAGCGAGCGCAGGCGGUUUUUUAAGUCUGAUGUGAAAGCCUUCGGCUCAACCGAAGAAGUGCAUCGGAAACUGGGAAACUUGAGUGCAGAAGAGGACAGUGGAACUCCAUGUGUAGCGGUGAAAUGCGUAGAUAUAUGGAAGAACACCAGUGGCGAAGGCGGCUGUCUGGUCUGUAACUGACGCUGAGGCUCGAAAGUAUGGGUAGCAAACAGGAUUAGAUACCCUGGUAGUCCAUACCGUAAACGAUGAAUGCUAAGUGUUGGAGGGUUUCCGCCCUUCAGUGCUGCAGCUAACGCAUUAAGCAUUCCGCCUGGGGAGUACGGCCGCAAGGCUGAAACUCAAAGGAAUUGACGGGGGCCCGCACAAGCGGUGGAGCAUGUGGUUUAAUUCGAAGCUACGCGAAGAACCUUACCAGGUCUUGACAUACUAUGCAAAUCUAAGAGAUUAGACGUUCCCUUCGGGGACAUGGAUACAGGUGGUGCAUGGUUGUCGUCAGCUCGUGUCGUGAGAUGUUGGGUUAAGUCCCGCAACGAGCGCAACCCUUAUUAUCAGUUGCCAGCAUUAAGUUGGGCACUCUGGUGAGACUGCCGGUGACAAACCGGAGGAAGGUGGGGAUGACGUCAAAUCAUCAUGCCCCUUAUGACCUGGGCUACACACGUGCUACAAUGGAUGGUACAACGAGUUGCGAACUCGCGAGAGUAAGCUAAUCUCUUAAAGCCAUUCUCAGUUCGGAUUGUAGGCUGCAACUCGCCUACAUGAAGUCGGAAUCGCUAGUAAUCGCGGAUCAGCAUGCCGCGGUGAAUACGUUCCCGGGCCUUGUACACACCGCCCGUCACACCAUGAGAGUUUGUAACACCCAAAGUCGGUGGGGUAACCUUUUAGGAACCAGCCGCCUAAGGUGGACAUAAUG
rnacentral:rRNA from 1 species